UACGUAGGGUGCGAGCGUUAAUCGGAAUUACUGGGCGUAAAGCGUGCGCAGGCGGUUUUGUAAGUCAGAUGUGAAAUCCCCGGGCUCAACCUGGGAACUGCGUUUGAAACUACAAGGCUAGAGUGUAGCAGAGGGGGGUGGAAUUCCACGUGUAGCAGUGAAAUGCGUAGAGAUGUGGAGGAACACCGAUGGCGAAGGCAGCCCCCUGGGUUAACACUGACGCUCAUGCACGAAAGCGUGGGGAGCAAACAGG
rnacentral:rRNA from 1 species